rnacentral:lncRNA from 1 species
CUCCUUGAAUUCUUCAGAGGCAGCAGCCAGCCUCAGACACCAUGUCACCAAAGAAAGCCAAGAAGAGGUUAGAGGGCGGAAGCUCCAACGUGUUCUCCAUGUUUGAGCAGACCCAGAUCCAGGAGUUCAAGGAGGCCUUCACAAUCAUGGACCAGAACAGAGACGGCUUCAUUGACAAGAAUGACCUAAGGGACACGUUUGCUGCCCUCGGUAUGUG